GUCGAGGGGCAGCAUCAUCAAAGCUUGCUUUGAUGGAUGGCGACCCCUGCACGGGUGAGUAACACGUAUCCAACCUGCCGACAACACUGGGAUAGCCUUUCGAAAGAAAGAUUAAUACCGGAUGGCAUAAUUAUUCCGCAUGGGAUAAUUAUUAAAGAAUUUCGGUUGUCGAUGGGGAUGCGUUCCAUUAGGCAGUUGGCGGGGUAACGGCCCACCAAACCUACGAUGGAUAGGGGUUCUGAGAGGAAGGUCCCCCACAUUGGAACUGAGACACGGUCCAAACUCCUACGGGAGGCAGCAGUGAGGAGUAUUGGUCAAUGGACGAGAGUCUGAACCAGCCAAGUAGCGUGAAGGAUGACUGCCCUAUGGGUUGUAAACUUCUUUUAUACGGGAAUAAAGUGAGCCACGUGUGGCUUUUUGUAUGUACCGUAUGAAUAAGGAUCGGCUAACUCCGUGCCAGCAGCCGCGGUAAUACGGAGGAUCCGAGCGUUAUCCGGAUUUAUUGGGUUUAAAGGGAGCGUAGGCGGGUUGCUAAGUCAGUUGUGAAAGUUUGCGGCUCAACCGUAAAUUGCAGUUGAUACUGGCGACCUUGAGUGCAACAGA
rnacentral:rRNA from 1 species